GACGAACGCUGGCGGCGUGCUUAACACAUGCAAGUCGAACGGAAGGGCCCGGCUUUCAGUUUACUCGAGUUGCGAACGGGUGAGUAACACAUAGGUGGUCUACCCUGCACUUCGAGAUAAGCCUCUGAAACUGAGUCUAAUACCUGAUGGGAGACAUUUUGAGUGGGAUGGUUGGAAAGUUUUAUCGGGGUAUGAUGAGCUCGCUACCUAGCUGCUUGUUGGGGUGGUAAUGUAGUACCAAAGCGGCUACGGGUAGCCGGACUGAGGGGGUGGACGGCCACAUUGGGACUGAGAUAAGGCCCCGAUUGCUACGGGAGGGAGAAGGGGGGAAUAUUGACGAAUGGGCGCAAGCUGGAUGCAGAGAGGCCGCGUGGCGGAUGACGGUCUUAGGGUUGUAAAAUCUAUUCGUUAGGGACGAAGCUUUUUGUGACGGUACCUAGACAAGAAGCCCCGGCUAACUACGUG
rnacentral:rRNA from 1 species